AGUGAACGCUGGCGGUAGGCCUAACACAUGCAAGUCGAACGGCAGCACAGUAAGAGCUUGCUCUUACGGGUGGCGAGUGGCGGACGGGUGAGGAAUACAUCGGAAUCUACUUUUUCGUGGGGGAUAACGUAGGGAAACUUACGCUAAUACCGCAUACGACCUACGGGUGAAAGCAGUGGAUCUUCGGACCUUGCGCGUUUGAAUGAGCCGAUGUCGGAUUAGCUAGUUGGCGGGGUAAAGGCCCACCAAGGCGACGAUCCGUAGCUGGUCUGAGAGGAUGAUCAGCCACACUGGAACUGAGACACGGUCCAGACUCCUAAGGGAGGCAGCAGUGGGGAAUAUUGGACAAUGGGCGCAAGCCUGAUCCAGCCAUACCGCGUGGGUGAAGAAGGCCUUCGGGUUGUAAAGCCCUUUUGUUGGGAAAGAAAAGCAGCAGGUUAAUACCCCGCUGUUCUGAAGGUACCCAAAGAAUAAGCACCGGCUAAAUUCGUG
rnacentral:rRNA from 1 species